rnacentral:rRNA from 1 species
GCAAGUAAAUAGUACGCAAGGUAUAUUUAUUGGAAAUCGUGUGUAUCAACCACAGAAAACAGAAACUGUUCAAAAUACACGCUCAUAUGAUAUAUAUGAGAAUAGAGUGAUUUUAGCAUUUCUAAGGAAUAUGAUUGAUUCGGUACAAUCUUUGCAAGGAUAUUGCUGUAAUCUAUUAAGUAAAAUCCCCAAUGAUGAAGAUUAUAGCUCAGAGUACAUUUAUUCAUCAUUUUUUAUGUUUUCUGAAACAAGAAAAAUGAUAGAAGAUGGAAAGACUCAGUUGGAGAAAUUGUCUGAAAAAUUUACAUAUUUAUGGGGAAUGUAUAGUGAUAUUCUUCGUAUCCCCCUAGAUCAACAUAUAGUACCCCCUAGACCGACUGCAAUUUUUCUCUCCGUUCCACAAUAUAAUCGAAUAUUCGUUAGAAUUCAUCAAUGGUUUAGUUUUGGAAUAUAUAAUUUUUCUAAAGAACAUUUUAUGCUCUCCUUUAUUAAAAUUUCAGCUUUGUAUGAAAGUUAUCUUUUGGCGAAAUUCCUUUGCUAUUUCAGAGAUAGAGGGUAUUCAUUGGAGUCUUCUAGACGUUGCGUAUAUCCGGUAUCAAAACGAUGGAAAUAUCGGCGAAUUACUUAUGUCAGGUAGAGCUACUGAUUGGAUGCGAGGGCUUCACCGCCUAUCAAGUCCAGAUAAACUCCGAAUGGGCAUAAGUUAAUACCGGGAGUGAGGGCAUGGGUGCUAAGGUCCAUGUCCGAGAGGGAAAGAACCCAGACCAUCAGCUAAGGUCCCCAAAUACAUGUUAAGUUGAAUUAACGAAGUGUUGCCGCUAAGACAGCUAGGAUGUUGGCUUGGAAGCAGCCAUUCAUUUAAAGAGUGCGUAACAGCUCACUAGUCGAGUGGCGAUGCGUGGAUAAUAAUCGGGCAUAAAACAUGUUACCGAAGCUAUGGGAUAAAUAUUAUCGGUAGGGGAGCAUUCUGUUCAGCGUCGAAGGCGCAGCGUGAGCUGCUCUGGAGCGGACAGAAAAGCAAAUGUAGGUAUGAGUAACGAUAAAGGAAGUGAGAAACUUCCUCGCCGAAAGACUAAGGUUUCCUGAUCAACGCUAAUCGGAUCAGGGUAAGUCGGGCCCUAAGGAGACGCCGAACGGCUAAUUCGAUGGAUGAAACGGUUAAUAUUCCGUUACUGGCUUUAAGAGUGAUGUGGGGACACAGGAGUGAAACUGCUGCCAACUGACGGAAUAGUUGGUUAAAGGGUGUAGACGUUGAUUUUUGCAGGCAAAUCCGCAAAAAGAGUCGAACCUGAAAGUAUGAGGAACCAUUGGUGAAUCAAUAUGCAGGUAAACAGACUGUCAAGAAAAACCGCUAAACGCUAAUCUUAAAGUCACCCGUACUAAAACGGACACACGUAGUUGGGUUGAGUAUACUAAGGCGCUCGAGUGAUUCACAGUUAAGGAAUUAGGCAAAAUGACCCUGUAACUUCGGGAUAAAGGGUGCCUGUCAGUGAUGGCAGGCCGCAGAGAAUAGAAGAAGGCAACUGUUUAACAAAAACACAUGGCUAUGCAAAUUAGAAAUAAGACGUAUAUAGCCUGACACCUGCCCGGUGCUGGAAGGUUAAGAGGAGAAGUCAUCAGCAAUGAGAAGCUUUGAAUUGAAGCCCCAGUAAACGGCGGCCGUAACUAUAACGGUCCUAAGGUAGCGAAAUUCCUUGUCGGGUAAGUUCCGACCUGCACGAAUGGUGUAAUGAUCUGGACACUGUCUCAACCGUGAGCUCAGUGAAAUUGUAGUAUCGGUGAAGAUGCCGAUUACCCGCGAUGGGACGAAAAGACCCCGUGAACCUUUACUAUAGCUUAACAUUGAAUUUGGGUAAUUGAUGUGUAGGAUAGGCCGGAGACUUUGAAGCAGGCACGCCAGUGUUUGUGGAGUCGCUGUUGAAAUACGGCCCUUUGGUUAUUUGAGUUCUAACUCGCUGAUGCGAGGACACUGUUUGGUGGGUAGUUUGACUGGGGUGGUCGCCUCCAAAAGCGUAACGGAGGCUUCUAAAGGUGCCCUCACGCCGAUUGGUAACCGGCGGUAGAGUGUAAUGGCAUAAGGGCGCUUGACUGGGAGACUUACA